rnacentral:rRNA from 1 species
CUACGGGAUGCAGCAGUAAGGAAUAUUGCGCAAUGGAGGCAACUCUGACGCAGCCAUGCCGCGUGCAGGAAGAAGGCCUUAUGGGUCGUAAACUGCUUUUAUUUAGGAAUAAACCCCCGAACGUGUUCGGGGCUGAAGGUACUGAAUGAAUAAGCACCGGCUAACUCCGUGCCAGCAGCCGCGGUAAUACGGAGGGUGCAAGCGUUAUCCGGAUUUAUUGGGUUUAAAGGGUGCGCAGGCGGGCUAUUAAGUCAGUGGUGAAAUCCCGGGGCUCAACUCCGGAACUGCCAUUGAUACUGAUAGUCUUGAGUUUGGUUGAAGUGGGCGGAAUGUAGCAUGUAGCGGUGAAAUGCAUAGAUAUGCUACAGAACACCAAUCGCGAAGGCAGCUCACUAAGCCAAAACUGACGCUCAUGCACGAAAGCGUGGGGAUCAAACAGGAUUAGAUACCCUCGUAGUC